rnacentral:rRNA from 1 species
UACGUAGGGCGCAAGCGUUGUCCGGAAUUAUUGGGCGUAAAGAGCUCGUAGGUGGCGUGUCGCGUCUGCCGUGAAAGCCCAUGGCUUAACUUCGAAACUGCAUUCGAUACUGCCGUGCUUGAGGACUGGAGAGGAGACUGGAAUUUACGGUGUAGCGGUGAAAUGCGUAGAUAUCGUAAGGAAGACCAGUGGCGAAGGCGGGUCUCUGGACAGUUCCUGACGCUGAGGAGCGAAAGCGUGGGGAGCGAACAGG